rnacentral:rRNA from 1 species
AUGUGUACAUUCAGGUUCAAUACACUCGAGCAGUUUUGUCACAUCUGUGGAUUUAGUAUGACAAGAAAAUUACUUGGAAACCCUCUUCUUCACGUCCAGCGGCCGACGCAGCUCUCGUGCCCUCCCAGCGCUGCCGGUCGGGAGCUUCUCCAUCCUACGCCGCUGCCUCGUAUCGGCUGUGCGAAGGAGGGCGGCGAGCAGCAGGAGCUCACCGCGUGUGUGGAGUUGUGUGGACUCCCUGCACCGCAGCUGCCUCUUUGCCAUUGCUGCGAUGCCUCACCGGCCAUGGAUCUGCUGCAGAUGGAGAGUGCCAACGGGGCCGCCGCCGAUGGGAAGUGCGAACAGAGAAAGGAUGUGGUCGUCACCAUCGCAAGAAGGCAUCAGUGA